rnacentral:rRNA from 1 species
UACAGAGGUCUCAAGCGUUGUUCGGAUUCAUUGGGCGUAAAGGGUGCGUAGUGGCGCCGUAAGUCGGGUGUGAAAUUUCGGAGCUUAACUCCGAAACUGCAUUCGAUACUGCGGUGCUUGAGGACUGGAGAGGAGACUGGAAUUCAUGGUGUAGCAGUGAAAUGCGUAGAGAUCAUGAGGAAGACCAGUGGCGAAAGCGGGUCUCUGGACAGUUCCUGACACUGAGGCACGAAGGCCAGGGGAGCAAACGGG